GACCAACAUAAAAGCAAAGUACACAUGAAACAUGCAUUUCAAAAAAUAAGACAUAAAGGUGAAAACCUAAUACAUGGAAAAUAAUACAUGGAAAAUUUCAAAGUCAGCUUGUCCUGUGCUUAUAAAGCAGAAAGGGAAGUUGAAGUCAAGGAAAGCAAGAGAACCAAGACUCCGGGCCAGAUGCUCCGUUUGGAGGGUCUAAGCUAAGCUAGGCCCCCCCAGGAACAGUGGAGAAAGAGACUUGGCCUGGAGGUCCCAGUGAAAACGGUUGGGUUGCUCUAGCCCUGGAGAGGGUUCACUGGGCUUGUAUCCUGCUGCACAAAGGGGGGGAAUUCCGAAUCCUAUGGGAUGGUGGGGGAGGAGCCUCCCUUGAGAAUGGGGAGUUUUGAAGUUGCUUUCACCCGGGAAGAGCUUUAUAUUUGAAAGAAAGGCAUAGGGCGGGGUCCUUUCACCUAGCAUAGUCAGAGCCCCCCAAAUGGGAUCCGAAUUGUUUCACCACCUCUCCAGCAGGUCAAAGGGCAGGAAGAGGCGGGGAAAGUGGCUUCUCCUUCCGGAGGGGAAUUUUUAAAUUUUGUCGCGGCUCCACACACAGUAGAAGAAGGAGGAACCGCCAUCCUGGUUCUCGCAAAGGGGGAAUCCGGAGCACCACGCGAUUUCUUCAUCCCAGAGAAGGAAGGAGGAGGCGGAAGGCAAAGUGNAAAAGGGAGAAGAACAGCAGGAGGUUCCUGAACCUUUUGCCAAGGAAGGGAGAUCACCUGGAUCCAGGCUGCAUUGGACAGCUGAGAUGUCAGAAUCGAGCAUGACCUCUCUGGGGAGAAGUGGUCAGGACGUGUCCCUAAACGUCACCCCUCUCCAGNCGGAGGCCCUAAUGGACACAGAGGAAAGGUCGGCAGAAAUAAUGAGCCCUGUAGAAUGGCUGUCACAGCGGAAAGCAAGGAGAAAGAGAAUUGGGAUAAAGGAGCUGGUUCAGUGCAUUCUUUGGCAAAAUGCGAUAGAAUCCCGCAAGGCAUUGGAAGCCUUUGCCGAGUCUAACCGGAAAUGGAUGACCCUUCUGGCGAGGGAACAUGAGAGGCAGCGCCAGCAUCAUGAGUCACUUCUGCAGAUCCUGGCUGAACAGACGCAGCUGCUAAGGAUCAUGGUCUCCAACUGCCAGCCGGGAGGUCACCGCGACAGUAACCGCAGCUACUGUGGGAGCCAUUCAGCCUCGCGCCGAUUGCGGUUCACUACAGCGGCUUCCCCGAUUGCCUUGCAGCACUCUAGGUCCCACCGGGAUAUGUACCCCCGCUCCAUUCCAGCUGCACUGCCCACAUCAUCACUUUCAGUCCACCCCAGGCCACAGAGACCGCAGGGAUGCCGGGAUAUGGAUUUUUCAGAAGAUGAAGGGGGACUUGUUUCCCUUCCCCCACCCAUAACAUCUACACCAUACCCCCCAGGGAGUGAGAAGAGACUCCGCAUGACCAGUUACGCCAAGGGAUAUUUUUUCCCCAUGGUAUGGCUGACACGGGUAAACCAUUGAUAACCAGUCACCCAUGUACUGUAUGUGUAUCUUAUAGUUUUACUGCAAUUAAUGUUUUGAGUGUUAACAGUAGUAGUAGUUCCUUACUGUAUUUCUAUUUUUGUUGUCUUAUUUCUUAAGAUAUCAAUACAGAGUUGUUUUGUUUGUUUUUUUAAAAUAAAGGUUCCAAGCUUUUCCA
ensembl:lncRNA